AGGGUCCAGCUGAAGCCAUUUAACUCUUUCCACUGGAGCCUGCUGAGUUUAACCUCUCCCACCUUUCAGCUCUGGGCCCAACAGUGAAGUUCCUGGAGGGAAGAAAACAGGCAAGAAGCAGCAAGAGGGUGAAACAAUAAAUGUUAACUCAAAGAAUGUGAAUUAUUUGGAAUUUCCUGUGGAAAAGCUUCAGACAUCUAACCUCAAGCCAGAAGAAAAUGCAUCGUGUGUUAAUCAGGCAGAACAAGGAAUAGGAAAACAGGAGCCUGGAUGCAAACAUUUCACAAACCUCAGUGGUGUGGAAACCAAGAAACAAAGAAACCUGCUGAGUGCAGUGGUGACUUUGGAUGAGGAUGAGCCCUGCCCACCAUUGCUCCUCACAACAGUGGUUCAGUCAAGCAGUUGGAGCCCUGACCACCCAGUGCUCCCAGCAAGGCUGUGCUCCCUGCAGGUGCCACCCCCUGCCAGCACCCAGAUGGCCAAGGAGAGAAUUGCUGGAGCUGUUGUGUUCCAUUCCCCACGUGAGGGGAGCUUGUCAGGCAGCACUGGCUGGAGCGAAGGCAAUGACUGCAUCUCCUGUGCUGGACUGAUGGAUGCACACUGCCAAAGAUUUCCAAAACAUAAAUAAUUCAGCUCAAUCCUUUCUAGGUGAGGGGGACGAAGUGCUGAAGGCCCA